AUUAAACGCUGGCGGCAUGCCUUACACAUGCAAGUCGAACGGCAGCACGGGGGCAACCCUGGUGGCGAGUGGCGGACGGGUGAGUAAAGCAUCGGAACGUAUCCUGGAGUGGGGGGAUAACGUAGCGAAAGUUACGCUAAUACCGCAUAUUCUGUGAGCAGGAAAGCAGGGGAUCGCAAGACCUUGCGCUCUGGGAGCGGCCGAUGUCGGAUUAGCUAGUUGGUGGGGUAAAGCCUACCAAGGCGACGAUCCGUAGCGGGUCUGAGAGGAUGAUCCGCCACACUGGGACUGAGACACGGCCCAGACUCCUACGGGAGGCAGCAGUGGGGAAUUUUGGACAAUGGGCGGAAGCCUGAUCCAGCCAUGCCGCGUGAGUGAAGAAGGCCUCGGUUGUAAGACUCUUCGCGGG
rnacentral:rRNA from 1 species